rnacentral:tRNA from 1 species
UCGGUAGCUCAGUCGGUAGAGCAGUGGACUGAAAAUCCAUGUGUCGUUGGUUCGAUUCCGACCCGAG